CACACCAUAUGCUAGUGCCUUGGUACCAGGCAUUAUAGAUUUAGCUCUUUCACACCCUGCCCUCCUGCCAGAUCUCCUCAAUAUGUUCAGACACAUCACAGCUUCUCUCAAUUCCAUCCUCCUAACCCAUUCUCUCCAGGAAUCUUCAAACCUGCCUGAUCUAGCCUGGCCUGGCUCACAGCUGUCAUCCAGGGAGCUCCCGGCCUCUCCUGAACUGCGUUCCUUGUCUUCCUCUUUCUUGGCUUACUCCCUCAUUUUGCUGUACCAUAUCCUCUAGUGGUUUUCUGAGAAAGGAUACAUACAAGCUUUCAGGACGUGUUGAAGUCUGAAGCCAUUCCAAUCCUGAAAUCCCUGGGAAUCCGUCUACUCUCAGGAAGGAGGGAGUGUGGGCAAGUGUAUCAGUCGUCCAUUGCACAAUACUGGGGUGCCUUCAGAGCGAGCCGCCUGCCCUGGGAGACACUGAAGAAAAUGCACUCGGACGCGGCGCCUUCGCCCAGAGCUCCCUGUCUUCAUCUCCUUGGCGCAUUGCGUGUCUAUCUCUACCCGGGCUCCCUUCUGGCCUGUGUCUUCAACACCUGCUCACUAAGGACGUCGGUUUGGCCUCCCGAACAUAUCUGACGUCCACCCGCUUCUCUCCCUUCCCACUGCAUCCCACCUGGUUUUAAGGGCUGUCACCGCUUCCUUAAACUGUUGCCACAGCCCCUGGCUUUUCCUCUUUCCCCUGAGGCGAAGCUCUGCCAGUCUGAUCUGUACCCCGCAGCGGACGUGCGUGUUCUGCAGUGCGGCCCUGAGCGUGGCACGCUCUGCUGGCGGCGCUGGCCUCCUGGUGGAGGCUCUGCUGGGCGCCCACCGGGCAGCUGUGCCAGGAAGUGCAGGGCCUCCUUCUCGCACCCAAGGAGAGCCCCCGUUUCUGCCGUUUCCACUGUGUUCUGACUCUGGCAGGGGGGACUUUUGGAAUUCAUCUUUCUCUUCCUCCUGCCGCCCCAGGUCUCUCUGGAGCCCAGCCGUUAGUCCUCUCAGGUUCUUGUUUUCCAUGUGGGGGUGGGGGCUGGGGGCUUCUAAGGAUAGGAAAGAACAAUGUAAUGAGAUGUUGCCUCAAAGAAAUAUUACCCCCAAGCCCAUCCACCACUGAAAACUACAGUUCGUGCUGUUGGCCCUCCCCUGAUGCUCCUGGCCCCUCCCCAGGGUGGCCGCACACUCCCUUCCUGGACCCCUUCCUUCUCCUCCAGCCUCUGUCCGCUCCACAGAUAGGGAGCCAGGACAGCAAGCUGGCCACGUGUAACCCGGCUUGGGGAGGAGCAGAGCUCGUCCACAUCUACCAUGGGGGCAGCCGCCUCCCAGGAACGGGCUGUGCAGGAACACGUGCCCUGUGCCGCCCAGCCCUCCAAGGAAAUCCGAGCGGCCUCCUGCUGCUACGGGGGCAGGCUCAAGGUCUGCCU
rnacentral:lncRNA from 1 species